CACCAGACUCCUACGGGAGGCAGCAGUGGGGAAUAUUGCACAAUGGGCGAAAGCCUGAUGCAGCAACGCCGCGUGAAGGAAGAAGGCCUUCGGGUCGUAAACUUCUGUCCUUGGGGAAGAAGAACUGACGGUACCCAAGGAGGAAGCCCCGGCUAACUACGUGCCAGCAGCCGCGGUAAUACGUAGGUGGCAAGCGUUAUCCGGAUUUAUUGGGUGUAAAGGGCGUGUAGGCGGGAGCGCAAGUCAGAUGUGAAAACUCAGGGCUCAACCCUGAGCCUGCAUUUGAAACUGUGUUUCUUGAGUGCUGGAGAGGCAAUCGGAAUUCCGUGUGUAGCGGUGAAAUGCGUAGAUAUACGGAGGAACACCAGUGGCGAAGGCGGAUUGCUGGACAGUAACUGACGCUGAGGCGCGAAAGCGUGGGGAGCAAACAGGAUUAGAUACCCCGGUAU
rnacentral:rRNA from 1 species